rnacentral:rRNA from 1 species
GACGAACGCUGGCGGCGUGCUUAACACAUGCAAGUCGAACGGAAAGGCCCUGCUUUUGUGGGGUGCUCGAGUGGCGAACGGGUGAGUAACACGUGAGUAACCUGCCCUUGACUUUGGGAUAACUUCAGGAAACUGGGGCUAAUACCGGAUAGGAGCUCCUGCUGCAUGGUGGGGGUUGGAAAGUUUCGGCGGUUGGGGAUGGACUCGCGGCUUAUCAGCUUGUUGGAGGGGUAGUGGCUUACCAAGGCUUUGACGGGUAGCCGGCCUGAGAGGGUGACCGGCCACAUUGGGACUGAGAUACGGCCCAGACUCCUACGGGAGGCAGAAGUGGGGAAUAUUGCACAAUGGGCGGAAGCCUGAUGCAGCAACGCCGCGGGCGGGAUGACGGCCUUCGGGUUGUAAACCGCUUUCGCCUGUGACGAAGCGUGAGUGACGGUAAUGGGUAAAGAAGCACCGGCUAACUACGUG